UACAGAGGUCUCGAGCGUUGUUCGGAUUCAUUGGGCGUAAAGGGCGCGUAGGCGGCGGGGUAAGUCUGGUGUGAAAUCUCGGAGCUCAACUCCGAAAUUGCACUGGAUACUGCUCUGCUAGAGGGCUGGAGAGGAGAUCGGAAUUCACGGUGUAGCAGUGAAAUGCGUAGAUAUCGUGAGGAAGACCAGUGGCGAAGGCGGAUCUCUGGACAGCUCCUGACGCUGAGGCGCGAAAGCUAGGGGAGCAAACGGG
rnacentral:rRNA from 1 species